rnacentral:lncRNA from 1 species
AUCACAUCUAUGACACUCUGACUCUCCCUCUCUCUGCAGAUCCGUUCUAGGUUGAUCACAAAGCCUGCCUGAGACUGAAUUUACAAUUCCCCAAUCAAGACAUAUCUGUAUUUAUCCUCUCCCUGAACACUGCGGCCCACUGACCCUUGUUUGCUCAUCAUCUCCACGCUCCAGCAAGGGGCAGGUGUGAAGUCUGACUGCUCUGUGAAGUGUUUAAACACAAUUCUGUGUCUUCCAUUCACAUUUAUAGAUGUCCCCCCCAACUUCUUUUCCAGCAGUUUCCUUCAGCCUCUCUGAGAAGAUAAUCUGAGGAGCAUUUGAGACAAGCUGCUCAAAAAAGCCCACAAGAAACACACAUCCACUCCAAGAGCAAGACAAAAAGCAAGGACAGGGUUUCUCUGUGUAGCUUUGGAGCCUAUCCUGGCACUCACUCUGGAGACCAGGCUGGCCUCGAACUGAACUCACAGAGAUCCGCCACAGAUUCAAGAGUCUUAUGAAGAUGCUUUAGACUCCAUGGCCCUGUCAAAGGGCAGAACCAUCCUGUCACUGGUGAGAUUUUCUGUAUGUGCCUGCCACAGCUGCAAAUUCGGC